rnacentral:sRNA from 1 species
GCCCAGGUCAUAUCAAGGCCGGGGGGGUGGAUGGCGUAGUGGUAAGCGCUGUUCAUGGAAUGCUUUCUCAAGUAGGCACUUGGUGUUGGGGCCACCACUGCUGAGACAAGAAGGUAGUGGGUUCGAAUCCCACCUUCUCCAAAAGGAUAUUAUCACAUCUUGGUGGAUAUUGGGGGUACCCUUUCUUAUCUCAUUUCUAUUGGUAACUGCCACUGCAGGGUGGAGCAAUGUUCAACACUAUGUAUAUAGUCUAGAUGGAUUCAGUAUAGUGUGGGAUCCUAAGGUGUUGUGAUUCUUACAUGUCUAGUCCAAGUGACAAGGGACUGCUUAGUAUUGCAUGAGCAAUUGUGGGGCAAGGCCCCCCUUGAGGGCUAGAUCCAGAAUGGUAUAGUGAAGUCUCUCCAUCAAGGAUGACUCAGUUAUGAAUAGAGAAAUGUAACUAGAGAGUAGCCGAACAUAAGGGCUAGGCUAGUGAGGUGAAGGCUGUCAUAGUCUCAGACUGCAUAUGGCCUUAGAAAAAAUAUGAAGAACAACAACAACAACAACAUAUCAAGGCCCAAUCCUUUUAUACAUUUAUGCGCUGGAUUCCGCGAUCGGGGGAUUUAGUGACCACUAGUGUCAUGGCCAACUUUGUUCAUCGUGAACUUUGUCCUUCCUAGUAUCCUGCAUGUCGGCUCGUGGAAGAUAUGAUGAUGAAGAGUUAAAUAAAUAAAAAUUAGAUGCCCGGGACUUCACUUUUGAGGUCAAGGGGACAGAGCGCAAGCCGUUAAUUCACUCUCAUUUCUCUGACAACCUCAAUUUUAAUACGGGAUCAUAU